rnacentral:lncRNA from 1 species
CUCUUUGUUUCUUGGCUGCCUCGUGGUAAGGAACUACUGGAGGAAGACUCAUGCCUAGUAUUUGCUGAACCUGAAAACUUCUUUAAGCUGCAGUUGUUGUGCUGGCCUCCUAGGAUAUUCAGCAGCUGGUCCUGUCACCUUCCAGAUAUUCAUAUGCUCAGCCAAAUCUGCAUAACUGUAAAUCAACACUAAGAGCAGUGGAAGGUUAAAGGUAAAGGAGAGUCUCACAAAGGAUCCAGGAGAACUCUGAAGAGGAACUGAGGGCCUGAAGGAAGAGAGUGGGAUCAACAGCCCAUCCUUGCCAGUAGGAGUCUGGAGCUGCAUGGUUUGGAACUAGGACUAGAGAACACUGCCUGGGGACUCACAGUAUUGUCCCCAAGUUAAGCCUUGUGGAAAUUUUCAGUCACCAGAGCAGUGGCAGGAACUGCAAACAAGAAGACUUGGAAACUCCAAGGUCACAGUAACUACAAGGCUAGUGGAUGGACAGGCAGUGGACCAUGAUUGAAACCCCUUACUCUGCUGCUCAUAAGAACACUGAUCUUCAAAUUCUAUUGUGCAUUUCAUAACUGUGUAAUUAAAUUGCUGACUAUGUAAAUGUGACUUAUCCUGAUUUUUUUAAUUCAUCUUAUUGUUGCCAGAAUACUUACAUAAUAAUUUUUGAGAGAAUGGGAUUGUUUGUUGGAAACAUGGUUAUAUUUCUCUGGUGGCAGGUUCAAAGCUCAUACAAUUCGCAUUCAUCCAUGUUUUUUAACGCUGCUAUUUAAUCACUGUGCUAGUCAAGAUCUUUGCCAUUGGAGAUUAUGCAUCCACUGGGAGGUUUAAAAAUUAGUCCCAUAAGGAUCACUGGAGUUUUCAUUGAAUUUUAAGCAAUAUUUAUCAAUUUAAAAAAAUUUUAGCUGUCUUUAGAUUAGUAAAAAUUUAGUAAAAUUUUUUUGGCUCACAUAUAUAUACUAUCAUAUCAUAUGAAAAUAGGUAAAUCACUAUUUUUUUCUUUCCAAAUGGUAUUCCCUUAGAUUCUCUUAGUUGCCUUAUUGCUUGAGCUAGAACUUCUAAUACUAUAUCAAAGAGACAUGGGGACAAUUGACAGACUUUUUUUGUGUUAGAGAAUUCUUUCUUUAAACCUUUGGUAUUAAUAUGGAAUUUUUUUUAUGUAAUUCCAAAGCCUUUAGUACACUUCCUAUCAAUUAAUGGUCAAUUUCUUUAUUACUCUGUGCCAGAGAGCCUGGCAAAUCUGUAUGGGAUCUUAUAUGUGUUAUAUGUAGUCAAUUACUCUUAUUUGUUGUAGUUGAAUAAAUAGUGAAGUCAGUUCAGAAUCAUCCUAAAUAAGAUCAACAGGCUCUAUGUGUAAAACAAACGUUUCUGUAUAUUGAGAGUCAGUUACUAUGUUAAGACACUUGAAAAUCUGAGAACACCAUGACUAUAUUGCACAUAAUUAAGAUUUUUGAACUGAUUUCUAGGGACUGUCAGCCACCUUACUUAAAUCUUCUGCCUUUCCUGAAUUUUAGCCUCAGUGUAAAAUGUAGUGGCUCCAGAUAUUGGAAUUCCCUUUAGUGUAUGAGGGAAAAUCCAAGUAGUCCAUUUUAUGAACUGAAGCCACUUGAUUUUAGGGUAUCUGUUGUUAAUAACUCCAAGAAAUUACUGCGUGCUUUUUACCAAAGUUCAUGUUGUAUCUAUAGUGAGUCAAUCUCUGCAUUAAUAAAUGGUACCACGAUUUCAGCUGGAUCCAUUCCAACUAA